AGAACUGGAUUAUUGUGCCUAAUAUUGGAGACCUGCGACAGAGAAUCUUGAAGGAAGCUCAUAAGAGCGGGUUUUCAAUUCAUCCAGGGAGUACUAAAAUGUAUCAGGAUCUGAAAGCGAUGUUCUGGUGGCCAGGGAUGAAGAAUGAUGUGGCAUUACAUGUAUCUAAAUGUUUAACGUGUCAGAAGGUUAAGAUUGAGCAUCAGAGACCAUCAGGGACCCUUCAGCCUUUAGAGAUUCCACAAUGGAAAUGGGAGAGUAUCGCAAUGGACUUUGUGAUAGGUUUGCCUAGGACCCGAUCUGGUUGUGACGCUAUUUGGGUGGUUGUGGACCGAUUGACGAAAUUAGCUCAUUUUCUUCCUAUCCGAAUAAGUUGCACAAUGGAAGAAUUAGCUCGAAUGUAUAUUAAAGAGAUUGUCAGGUUGCAUGGCGUGCCUUCUACCAUUAUAUCUGACAGGGAUCCUCGGUUUACAUCAAGGUUCUGGGGAGCUUUUCAACGUGCAUUUGGAACUCAGCUAAGCUUGAGUACUGCGUAUCACCCUCAGACAGAUGGUCAGUCAGAAAGAACUAUUCAGACCUUGGAGGAUAUGCUAAGGGCUUGUGUUUUGGAUCAGCCUGCGAGUUGGGAUCGGUAUAUGCCAUUAAUUGAGUUUGCUUAUAAUAAUAGCUAUCAUGCGAGCAUCGGAAUGGCUCCAUAUGAGGCUCUGUAUGGCAGAAAAUGUCAGUCUCCACUAUGUUGGUAUGAAACUGGAGAAAGGAGUUUGUUAGGGCCUGAGAUGAUAGCUGAAACUACUGAAUAGAUAAAGAAAAUUCGUAGUCGAAUGCUUAUAGCCCAAAGCCGCCAGAAGAGCUAUGCUGAUCAAAGGCGGAAGCCUUUGGAAUUGGAAGAAGGAGAACAUGUCUUUCUGAAAGUUACACCAACCACUGGAGUGGGAAGAGCUAUUAAGACUAAGAAGCUGAAUCCCCGUUAUAUUGGACCAUUUGAGAUCCUGAAGAGAAUUGGGCCAGUGGCUUAUAGAAUCACCUUACCGCCAUAUCUUUCGAAUUUGCACAACGUGUUCCAUGCAUCACAGCUUAGGAAGUACACUCCUGAUGCAAGUCAUGUUCUAGAACCAGAACCAAUCCAAGUAAGAGAAGAUCUAACACUUCCAGUAAUCCCAGUGAGAAUUGAUGAUACUAAUAUUAAACGAUUACGCGGAAAGGAAGUGUCAUUGGUAAAAGUAGCUUGGAGUCGAGCUGGGAUCGAAGAACAUACUUGGGAACUCAAAUCAGAUAUGCAAAAGGACUACCCACAUCUCUUUUCAGGUAACUGAAUUUGAAUUUUGAGGGCAAAAUUCUUUGUUAGGUGGGUAGAAUGUAAACCCCGAUUAAUUAGUAGAUAAUUAGUUAAUAAAUUAGUUUUUAAUAAGGAGGAUUAGAAAUGUGAAUAUUAUAUCAAAUUAGGACAGAGCUCAUCGAAACGAGAAUUUUGACACCAAUUUCGAAGAAAACGGUCCAAAAUUGGACCGAACGGGCCGGACCGGUUGAACCGGACCCAAACCGGGCCCGUGGGCCCAACCGGCCAGCAUUUAAAUGAGCCUAAAAGCUCAUUUCUCUUCAUUAACGUAACAGAAGCAGCAACGCUCCCAGGGAGGAAGAGAACGCCAAACCUAACGGCAACCUUCAACAUGCCGUAACUCCUCCGUCCGAACUCCGAUCGCCGCACCGUUUGCGGCCACGCGUUCACCGCGUCGAGCUCUACGUUUCUACCGGAACAAUUUCAUAGGAUCCAAUUAGCUUGAGAGAAACGUUCACUCUUGCUUAUGUGAAGCUUGGGUAAGGUUGUGAAUAAAUAAUUGGAGCUUGAAAUUGUGAAUAUUGGAACUUGGAGGAAGCUGAUUAGUUGAAUUUUGAAGGGGCUGCCUUGGUUUUAAAUAAUUUGCUUUGGUCGUUACGGGGAAAUCGGCCAAGAUGCAGGUCGAGAGGCAUCUCGUUAGGCGUCUGGACUCUUGAGGCGGAGUGGUUACUGGGAUAUUUUGUUAUGCUAUGAUGUAUAUAUAUGUACUUAGCUUUCUCUCCGCAUGACUUAUUCUUUUUUAUCCUCUUAGAGGUUUAUGGAGAGGCAGGAUUGUGUAUAUGUACUUUUGGGUUUUUGAUAUGUAUGUAUAUAUGUGUAAAUAUUCUCCGGCCAGUCUUGACUUCGCAGGCUGAGUUAGGAGCUUGUUAUUUUGUAUCUUUGGUAUUCUA